UACGUAGGUGGCAAGCGUUGUCCGGAAUUAUUGGGCGUAAAGCGCGCGCAGGCGGUCCUUUAAGUCUGAUGUGAAAGCCCACGGCUCAACCGUGGAGGGUCAUUGGAAACUGGGGGACUUGAGUACAGAAGAGAAGAGUGGAAUUCCACGUGUAGCGGUGAAAUGCGUAGAGAUGUGGAGGAACACCAGUGGCGAAGGCGACUCUUUGGUCUGUAACUGACGCUGAGGAGCGAAAGCGUGGGUAGCAAACAGG
rnacentral:rRNA from 1 species